ensembl:lncRNA
GAUACUUUAUAUAUAAAUAAAUGUCACAUGUAUAUAUAGCAUCAGGAAAUACGAGUUUGACAUUUUUGCAAAAUAAGCCCAAGGUCCAAUCAAAGGUGUAUUAAAAGGUAGUCAUUUCUGGAUGAUAGCCUCAUCGUGACACAGAAAAACAUAAGAUGCUGCAGCUCCCCAACCUACGCAUGGCGCACAAGGCUUACCCUGCUUUUCGAGCAGAAAAGAAUCCUAGAAUCUCAGCCUGAGCAGAGACCUUAAAAGCCACCUACCCCUAUGCUGCAUGCAUCGCACACGUGGCCUCUUCAUCACACCCAGGAAGCGGUGCCUGCUCUCAGCCUCAGCCACCCUAGCAACGAGGAGCUCAACUGGACCACGGCAUUGUCUAUCUUUUAGACAAGUCAAAUUGAUGGAAAGCAUCCACGCUGUGCUUUAUGGUGCCUCCUCGAAAAUUAGGAAGAGGCACCCGCCCUGGAUGGACCCAGCCUUGACUCCCGCCCUUGGCCAGGCGCCUGUGUGCAAGUUACAACCUGCUUAAACCUGUGCUAGUGUCCACAACUGUUGUCCGAAGUGUAACAGAAACAAAUAUGGUAGCAGGAAGCCCAGCACCCACUCACAGACACUUGUCACAACUUGAAUCCUCAGCAGUAUGUGCAAGACAAUGUCUCAGGAAGCCGACAAGAGAGCAGUGCCUAGAGCCACCGGCCCUGCCUCACUAAGACAGAAGGGGUUCCAACUCCACCUGCUGCCCCCAGUGCCUUCCUGGAAGCAGAGGAAGAAAUGGAAAAAAGAACAGGUGUAGGAAGAAAAGGGACAUGCCUUAGAGGGAAAAAUUCGGGCGGCAUGAAACGGCCAUGCCGAUGGAAGACAGAAAGCAGUCCUCAGGCAUGGAAGGCUACACUGUGGAAGAGCAUUCAUUCUCCCUUCAGCAAACCCUCACAGGAACCUAGUCCCUUUAGAGGAUCGGAUGAAACUUCACGGAAGCUGUGGUGUAAAACAGAAUAAAGAGAGCACGCUCUGGUUGAAGUGGGGUGGACGUGGGGAGACUCAGGGUCACUCUCCCUGCUCGGCUCCUGUGCCCUUGAAGAUCUCUGAGAAAUUUCUAGGACUUCAAAGAGCGUGAUGCUGAAGAACUGCUCUGCCAAAAUCACCUGCACCGCCCAUGGCUGCUGCCUCCCCGCCACUGACAGUGCGAACCGCCAGAAACGGAGAUGGGCAGGAGGUCAACCGAGGUUCCCGAGAUGCGGAAAGUACAUGCAUGACAGGGCUUCAGCCCCCUGCCAGCGCUCCGCUCCCUGCAGAGCCGUCUCUGUGCUCCCAGCCUCCUCCACAGCAUUGCUCCGCAUCGGCGGGGGCUUCCUCUGUGCUCUCUUCAGCCAGCUUGCAAAGACUUCCACCAUUCUCUCCUCUCCUGGCUCCUCCACUCAACCCUCCUUUCACUUCUGCAGGCUCCGCUGGGCACUGCUGUCCGUCUGGUGGACACCAUCCCAACAGGAUCAGCCUAUCAGCCGACUCUACAGCCAUCUCAGCUAGGUGCCACCUGUCCAUCAUUUUCUCACGGUCCUCUUGUUAGGAUGGGAGCAAGUCAUACUGCCUCUGACCGCCAUGUCUUAUGGAACCUUGAAUGAAACACGUCUUCACAUUCUCACUUCCAGUUAGAGACCUUAUCACCUCCCUGGAAACAACUCUAACAGGAGUCUCCCUUGGUCUAGGAAAUAAACCCAAGUAGCAG